rnacentral:lncRNA from 1 species
CCGCUCGUCGCCGCCACCUCGGCCGCGGCAGCUGAGCCUGUGACGAGGAGUCGGCGGCUCGGCGAGCCCCCCGGGCUGCGGGAUCUGGGGUUUAUUUUAGUCCGGCGCCAGGUUUACGACAGACUCGGGGGGCGGAGCAACAUCCCAAACGAGCAAACAAUGGUCAUUGACAUCUUUUUCUCUCGCCCCCCCAACCCCCGCCCCAUAAUGGAGGCAAAAAAAGGUAAAAGGGGCAGUUGGGUGUUUCUUGGAAAGAUCACUCCCCGUUGCUUUUCCCAUCUUUGCUUUUCCCAUCCUUUGCUUUUCCCAUCCUUCGCUCCUCCAUCCGCGGCCGUUACCCCAGCCCUCGAGCACCAGAAAUAGAAACUCGGAGGCUGGCGUCGAGGCUAGACAUGGACUCCGCGCCUGGCCCCUUCCAGAUCCCAGUUUUCUAAAGUGACUUCGCACCAAAGUCCGGUAUAAUUGCGGAAUGGGGAACGUGCUGCUAAGUUUGGGGGGAGGGUGUUGCGGGGGCUUGCUUCGUCCUCUCCAGUUAUCAGCCCCUCAUUCGCUCCAUCACCUAAAGUGUUAAAAAAAAAAAAAAAGGCUCUUGGGUCCCACCGUAAGAGCGCAUAAAGAGAGGAGGUACAAUGACCGUCCUUUGCCAUUGUAGGGCUCCCUAAUUUAUGCGUUUUUAGACCCUUAAGCAUCAUUUUGUGGGCAACCAAACGGGCACUUCCAAAUUAGCUCAAAGUAUCCAAGCCCAGAGAAGAGAGAAAACACACAUACACUGAUAAAUACGCAGAUGCUAACUUGUAAGUAUUCUGUUUUUCCUCUGUGGGGAUGGAAAUUGAACAAGGGAAAGAGGGGGAACAUUUUUAUUUCCUAAAAUGUUUCCUACUGAGUUUGCACUUGUAAAGUUUUUUCUGCUUUCUUUCCCUUUGUGUGUGUUCUUACUCUCUUUCUCUCAGUAAAUAUCUCUGACUUAAGUUUAUUCUCCCAUCACUACCGUGAUCAAAAAGAAGAGAAAGACAAAAUAUCAAAACUUCCAAAUAUUUCUAGUUGUUCGCAACGGGUCUUUUUGUUGUUGUUGGAAAAAUAUAACCUGUUCAAGCGAUAUGAAAAUGGAUGCAGAAAUCAGGUCUUUUAUGAACUUGAAACACAUCGGCUAGGUCUUCAUCCUCACCUGCACUGGAAUUACCUACUUAAGAAAAACAAACUAAUGAUACACAAAGAAGCACUUAUGUAUGUAUUUAAACACUUGCUGGGAUCCUUCUGAAAACUACAGUUUGAAUUUUACGUUUCCGGUUUAGUUUAAAUUGUAUUGUUUACUUGUAUGUAUUAGCUUAAAUAAAAUAAUAGUCAUUUCAAAUGUUUCUCAGAGACAACAGGGUAAGUAAAAAAUAGUUGUGUUAUGACAUCUGUGAAUAUAAAAGUUAUUUGUGGCCCAUUAUAUUUUAUUUUUCAAGUUCAAACGUAUUUCAAAUAUGAAACGCAUUAUCAUAAUCUCCAUAUUGAUUAGUUGUCCAAGUUGAAAAGUGUUUACAAUUUUAAUUUUUUCCAGAUGAUUAUUACUCUGUUUUCAGGCUAUAAAUUUCAUCUCAUGUAAUUUUCUUUGUAGAACUUUGACAUAGCAGUUAACAUCAAGUGGUUGUACUACAAUUUUUGCUUAUUUUGUUUUUCAACUGCAUUGGGUCCUGUUAUAAGUGCAUAUACAUCUGGAAUGCUUCCAUCUUUAAAUUAAAAGCACUUUAUCACAUCUGAAGGUUCUCUGCAGAGAGUCACUUUCUGACUGCUUAGGAACUUGAUAAGCCAAAUAGUAUUCCAUCACUGUAGGUAAACAGUUCUGGGAAAGAAAAAUCUACAGUCUUUGACAAUUCUUCCUGUCAAUUGUUUGUACCUCAUUCUAGAAAUUACAUAUCUUCAUGCCGGAAACACUAUUUGGAUGCGUGUGGAUGAUUCUGAAAAUUGAUAUAGUCUGAAGGAUGUAUAUGUACAUUUAUAUAUAGACACAAUAUAACCCAAUUGAUAUUCCAUUGAAGCUUUGUAUUCAUUUCAUCAGAUUAUCGUGUACCUAAAUUAUGUGUGGAAAUUUAUACUUAGUAGAUUCUCAAAUAUUAUUGGCUAAACUGCAUUUCACAGGAAAUGUAUUUCUCAGGAGUGUUUUCUCAUUGUUUUCCUUAAAAAACAAUGCUGGCACCCAGCAAAAUAAUAAAAUUAAAAAAUAAAAUAAAAUGCAAAUACUGCCUAAGGGAAUACAGUGAAAAGAAUUGGUUCUCACUCUCCUAUCCUUCAAGGCUCCUAGUUCUUCGCCUCAGAGGAAUUUGGUGUUACCUGUUUCUUUUGGAAUGGCCUGUCCAUCUAGAAGCAUACUACCAUUUUACACACAAAAGAUAGCAUGCUCUAUGUGAUUUGGUACCUUGCCUUUUUCAUAGUUUAGGUUUUUAUAGUUUCACACAUUGCAACAUUGAAAACAGACGAAGAUAGGCUGUGGCAGAUACAGAAAUUUUUUCUAGACAAAAAGACAAGAUUUCUCUAGACAAAACACUCCUGGCUUUCUGGCAAAAAUGUGGUAUUUGUUGAAAAUCUCUGAUGUGUUAGAUAGCCUUAGUGCCAAAAAUAUUUAGCAAAAAAAUUCUAAGGAAAGAGCCUUCUGCAGUUUGGAUUUGCUCUUGGCAGACAGAAGCUCAGCGAAAGGGACCUGAGAGGAGUUGAGAAACUUCUGACAUACCCACUUUGAAGUGGGGGUCCAGCCAGUACUUAGAGGGAAAUAUUGUUUAUCUAGGUGGUGAAUAGGUUUUCAGUGGGUCUUGUAUUUCCUCAUCAAGACUGUUUGAAAAUAUAACUUUCUGCUUGAUACCCAAAAACGUAAGUGCCUUUUAGAACUGAGACACUUGCUACAUUUGCAAUUAGUUUAAACUAGUUGUGCAACAAUUUGAUUAAUAAGUUUUAUGUUGUGGAAGUAGCCUUAAAAUAUUGUCUUUGCAGUUGGGAAGGAAUAAAGAAACAUCUUAAGGAUACUAGUAUUUUGCAGCAAAAUUUGAGGUUAUAAAGAGGAAAAUAAAACUGCCAUAGAGAUGAAACACAAAGUUUAUUUGAAUUAUUUUACUUUUUUUUGCUAAAUUCAUCAGUUUCUGAGAUCUGGUUCUCAUUUCUUUUUAGUCCCUUUAUAAGCCUUUUUCCAAUAGUGUUCAUUUCAAUUAUUUUAAAUGUCUUACAGUAAUUUUACACUUGCAUUUAUAAGGCUUUGUUAUUUCUAUGUGACACAGUAAUCCUUUCAUAUUUUCUUCACAAAAUACAAACUCCUGGCAGUUUACUCAAAAAAAUCUUGUGAUCCUUUUCCUGAGAUUCAGAUAUUUUAGACUGAAAAUUGUUUUCUGACCAAUGAUAAUUGGUAUCAAUAAACACAUUUUAAGCUAACACAAUUGUUAGUACAGUGUGAGAAUGAAUAGUAGGUAAUCACAUUUUGUUGUCAAAAUUAUUAUAAUAUGGUCCAAUGAAAUGAUUCCUCCUCCCAUCCCCCUAAGGAAAAAAACAAACAAGAAACCUCCCCUUCUAGGGUCAAGCUGUAACACUAUAGUUUUUACAGUCAGAGUAGAGAAUAACACUGGGCUAUAACAGGGGAGUAAAAAUAGGGAAAUUAUCCAGUGUGUCCCAAUUCUCUCACCCUAGGAUUAGGAGCUUGAGCCACAAAUUCAAAUUUUUCUAUGUUAAAAAUCAUUUUUUAGAGUAAUAAUACAUGUAUGGGAAAAACAAUGGCAAUAUUGAAAUAUAAUUUUUUAUUUCUGAAUUACAAGUUUAUUGUAUAUUUUGUGUAUAUAGAAAGUUUAAAAUAUUUUGGAACAUAGUGGUAUUUCCAUUGAACAACAUUUUUUAGAUGUUUUGGAGUGUCAUUAAAUGGCUGUUUUAUAGGAAAAAGAAUCCUCUGAAUUUUAAACAAAACUAUAUUUCUGUUGGUUAUUUUGUGUGAGGAGUUAGUUUUUCUAAGUGUUCCACCAUGUUUCCAACACAACCUAAUUAGAGUAAAUACACAAAGCUUUUAAAAAUACUUACUUUAUAACUUCUCACAUACUGUCACAUUUUUCGAAUCUGAGAUUUAGUGGCUUUAAUGUAAACUCUUUUUCUCCUACAAGUCUCAUUAAAGAUGUGUCAUCUUGCAUUUACAAAUUACUUUGUAAUUAUCAAGGAAGGUAUCAGUUUUUAACAUCUGGGCUGAGUAAUUGGGCUGUUGCCACCAUCACUUACUUGAAGGAGAACUCCAAUUUUUGAUGUUUUGGUAAAUUGAUUAUUAGGUUGUUGGAUUUGUUAAUAAAAAGUUUUACUGUGUACAUUUUAGAAGGAACAGCUAUGACAAUAUAGUAAUUAGAGAAUAAUUUGCUCAAUUUUGUCCCCUUUUGUUCUUCUGUGUACUACUAAUGUUGAGGGAAUAGUUGACAGAUACUUGUAUUCACAUGUAUCUGUCUGAAUUGUAGGUUGAGAAUUGUUCUUAAAAGGAAGCAAUAGGCUAAUGUUUACCUCAUAAAUCAAUGCAAAUUUUGGUAGAUUUUAAGCAAUUUAUUGCUUAAUAAUUUGCAUUAAAAAGCUUAAUAUGAAACAAUUUCAUUAAUCUACUUUCUUCAGACAGUAAGUGCCACAAGGAAAACCUGACUAAUAAAGUUGCCUUAUAAGAUUUUCUCAAGAAAACCAAAACCCAAAAAACCUAAUAAAAUGAGAGUCUCAAACCACAACAGACGUGUCAGAUGGACUUGAAAAUUACUGAUUAUUGCCCCAGAAUAUCCAGUUUGUGAAAUAAAUUGUGGGAUCUGACUCUAGUAAAUCUAGGGUUUAUUAUAAAGUUUUUAAAAGUGAAGUACUAAAUGUAAAAGGCAAUUUGAUCUUGUCACUGUGUAGGGAAUUACGUAGGUGUAAUACUGAAAAGGUGAUUCAAACUGGUGUUUGUACUUUUAGAAAUCAUGGAAAUUACACAAAAAUGUCACAAACCACAGCCAUUGGAAUUUGGCCUGAAAUACCAAGCCAGAUAAAUGAGAAUUGCUUGAGAAAAUCGGAACCAGCUUAAAUGAAAGCAGCUUAUCAUUGGCAUGUAGUAUGUCUUUUAAAAUGUAUAAUUAUCUAACAGAAGGAAAAUAGAAUAUUUGGAGUAGAUUACCUCUUCAAAAACAAAAAGCAUAUGCUAUGUAUCCAAGGUAAAUUUUUAAAAAACUAACUCAACCCUAAAAAAUGGCAAACUUCAAUGAGUGAAAGAUUUUUUAAAAUAACAUAUUCAAAAAAAUUUAAAUCAAAUUUAUAUUUUUUAAAGUUCACUUUUUAAUGAAGGACUAAAUCUUGAACUGUAAAGAUUAUAUUAGGGUUAAAUGUUUUGCAUAAGUUAUUGUUCUAGGAUUUGGAUAAUAGAAUAAUUUACAAGGCCAUUGUUUCAAUACAUUCUUUAUAUGUUUACCAUUACAAACAUAUAAACAAAAUACUCUGAAAGAUC